UACGUAGGGUGCGAGCGUUAAUCGGAAUUACUGGGCGUAAAGCGUGCGCAGGCGGCCAUGCAAGACAGAUGUGAAAUCCCCGGGCUCAACCUGGGAACUGCAUUUGUGACUGCAUGGCUAGAGUACGGCAGAGGGGGAUGGAAUUCCGCGUGUAGCAGUGAAAUGCGUAGAUAUGCGGAGGAACACCGAUGGCGAAGGCAAUCCCCUGGACCUGUACUGACGCUCAUGCACGAAAGCGUGGGGAGCAAACAGG
rnacentral:rRNA from 1 species